rnacentral:lncRNA from 1 species
ACACAGCCCGAUGGGUCUCCAAGCCCCAGAACAUACCCGUCCCUCCCUUGAGCUCUGGCACAAGACGGCACGUCUGGAAGCCAGCUCAGCACGCCUGGACUCAAGGAGGUGUUGCUACCAUUCGAAUUGUUGGCUUUUCUCCGGGAUUCACUUCUCUUCUCUCCAGGGAUUACCAAGCCUUUGAAGGGACCCGCUUCUCAAGGCUCAGAGUGUUUGAUUAAAUUGCUCGUUCCAGGUGUGCGCUUGGCCACAAGAUGAUACUUGAGAGGCUUGACUUCAAGAUUAUGAUCACCGUUGCGGGUGGCCUCCUGAUGGCCGCGAGCCUGCUGAUGUGCUUUAUCAUCUGUCUUAGCUACAAAGUGACAAAGUCAAUGAAGGGAGAGAAGAUGGAAAAUGUAACGAGCAAUGAUGCUGACAAAAAAGAUAAGAAACCCGCUUUGGAAGCAGGUCAACCUGAGGUUCCGCCAACUCCAGCGUCAAAGCCCCGGUGACAGUCUUGGAGAGAGAUGCCCUGGGGACCCUCAGUCCAGACAGGUGGGGCCCCGGCGUCUCCCAGCCACCGUGCUGCCUUGGGAAGCACAGUCAGCCCGGCUACCUCCCGACUCUGUCCCUUCAGUGUCCACGGUCCCUCGAGGGUAGGAGCCGCCUCUCACCCCCGGGGUCCCCGCACACAGCCCAGACUCCUUAGGUGUCAGGGGUAAUAACCCCCCGUCGCCUUUGCACCAGAUAAACCUCUCAGACACAGCAGUAAAUCAUGAAUAGCAUUAAUUUUGCUGACUGGUAAGAGUAUGUUACGCAUUAGGAUGUUUAGUAAAAUAAUUUCCUGC